CAAAGUACUAUUUGGAUAAGGUUUUAUAAUCGUAAUCAUCAUUAGCUGAUUGUUAAUCGAGAAUCAAAUUGUUUAAACCGAAAUAAUCUAAGUUUAAAUUAAACUUAAAGUUCGUAACUUUAUUCAGCCUCCGUGUUGAAAGUCAGGUCAUUUUAAUUGUUCGUAAAUCAACUGGAUUCUUAGUAACCGACUCACUUGAGAAGUUGAAAAAUUAACUAAUCAUCAUCAACAAUUUAAAUUUGAUUCUUAAUUUGCUCACUUGCUGAUUGUUUAUAUAAAAGGUUUUCAGUGAACUUGAAAAUUGUUUGAAAACAAAUUGAUUUGAUUGUGUUAACAUUGUGAUUAGUUUAUUGGUUUAACGUUUAUACUUUUGUUGGACUUUAAUUAAUCAAACUGAUUAACAAAUUUAAUCAUAAAAUCAUCAUGGGAGGCAAGCUUCUUUGUGUCUUUAUUUUAAUUCUGUUGGUUGUUAAUUGUGAAGCUUCAAUUGCUUAUUUUGAAUCAUAUGGUUGGCCUAGUUAUGGAAUCGUUAAACCUUUCUGGAUGAGGCCAUUUUCCGAUCAUCCCGCUAAGCCCAUUUCUGGAUAUUCAAGGAAACAUUUUGUCCGUUCUGCUGGAUUAAUUGUUGGACCUCGACUUUAUUGAUUGACCAUUGAACUCACUCAAUUUGUACGAUCUCAUCUCCAAGCUAAUCCACUACAAUCAUCAUCCAUCAAAAUUGUCACAAUUAGUAAAUUAUAACAAAGAUUAUCUAUUUAUUUCUAAUUUAUUUACAACGAAAGUUAAUAAAUGUCAUAAGAUAUUGUGAA